rnacentral:rRNA from 1 species
AGCGGCGGACGGGCGAGUAACGCGUAAUCAACCUGCCCUUGAGACUGGAAUAGCUACUGGAAACGGUAGGUAAUGCCAGAUGGCCCCCCGGAUCGGCAUCGAUCUGUGGGUAAACGGUGGCGCAAGCUGCUGCUCAGGGAGGGGAUUGCGUCCUAUCAGCUAGUUGGCGGGGUAAUGGCCCACCAAGGCGAUGACGGGUAGCUGGUCUGAGAGGACGACCAGCCGCACUGGGACUGAGACACUGCCCAGACUCCUACGGGAGGCUGCAGUCGAGAAUCUUCCGCAAUGGGCGAAAGCCUGACGGAGCGACACCGCGUGCAGGACGAAGGCCUUCGGGUUGUAAACUGCUGUCACGCUAUAGGAAACCCAGGUCGUUAAUACCGAUCUGGUCGACUAAAGCGAGAGGAAGUGGCGGCUAACUCUGUGCCAGCAGCCGCGGUAAGACAGAGGCCACGAACGUUGUUCGGAAUUACUGGGCAUAAAGCGCACGUAGGCGGCUAGGUCCGUCCGAUGUGAAAUACCCCGGCUCAACCGGGGAACUGCAUCGGAUACAGCCUGGCUUGAGGGUGGUUGGGGUGAGUGGAACUCCUGGUGGAGCGGUGAAAUGCGUAGAUAUCAGGAGGAACACCGGUGGCGAAAGCGGCUCACUGGACCAUUACUGACGCUGAGGUGCGAAAGCUAGGGGAGCAAACGGGAUUAGAUACCCCGGUAGUCCUAGCCGUAAACGAUGGGUACUGGGUAGGGG